AACGAACGCUGGCGGCAGGCCUAACACAUGCAAGUCGAACGCCCCGCAAGGGGAGUGGCAGACGGGUGAGUAACACGUGGGAACCUUCCCUAUAGUACGGAAUAGCCCAGGGAAACUUGGAGUAAUACCGUAUACGCCCGAAAGGGGAAAGAAUUUCGCUAUAGGAUGGGCCCGCGUAGGAUUAGCUAGUUGGUGAGGUAAUGGCUCACCAAGGCGACGAUCCUUAGCUGGUUUGAGAGAACGACCAGCCACACUGGGACUGAGACACGGCCCAGACUCCUACGGGAGGCAGCAGUGGGGAAUAUUGGACAAUGGGCGCAAGCCUGAUCCAGCCAUGCCGCGCGAGUGAUGAAGGCCUUAGGGUUGUAAAGCUCUUUUGCCGGGGACGAUAAUGACGGUACCCGGAGAAUAAGUCCCGGCUAACUUCGUGCCAGCAGCCGCAGUAACAC
rnacentral:rRNA from 1 species